rnacentral:rRNA from 1 species
GAUGAACGCUGUAGGCGUGCCUAAUAAAUGCAAGUCGAGCGAAGCGGGGCAGGUUGAGUAAAACUUGGAUAACCUCCUAUAAGACUGGGAUAACUUCGGGAAAACGGCGCUAAACCGGAUAAUUAUAGAUGGUUCCGCGCUGCAUUAGCUAGUUGUUAAGGUAACGGCUUACCAAUGCAACGAUGCAUUGCCGACCUGAGAGGGUGAUCGGCCACACUGGAACUGAGACACGGUCCUGACUCCUACGGGAGGCAGCAGUAGUGAAUCUUCCGCAAUGGGCGAAAGCCUGACGGAGCAACGCCGCGUGAGUGAUGAAUGUCUUCGGAUCGUAAAACUCUGUUAUUAGGGAAGCGGUACCUAAUCAGAAAGCCACGGCUAACUACGUGCCAGCAGCCGCGGUAAUUC